rnacentral:rRNA from 1 species
GAGCGUUAGGCGGAAUCACUGGGCUUAAAGCGUGUGUAGGCGGAUCGUUAAGUACCUUGUGAAAUCCCACGGCUCAACCGUGGAACUGCUGGGUAUACUGGCGGUCUUGAGCCACCUAGGGGCGAGCGGAACAAACGGUGGAGCGGUGAAAUGCGUAGAUAUCGUUUGGAACGCCAACGGUGAAAACAGCUCGCUGGGGGUGUGCUGACGCUGAGACACGAAAGACAGGGGAGCGAACGGG